UACGAAGGGGGCUAGCGUUGCUCGGAAUCACUGGGCGUAAAGCGCACGUAGGCGGCUUUCUAAGUCAGGGGUGAAAUCCUGGAGCUCAACUCCAGAACUGCCUUUGAUACUGGAGAGCUUGAGUCCGGAAGAGGUGAGUGGAACUCCGAGUGUAGAGGUGAAAUUCGUAGAUAUUCGGAAGAACACCAGUGGCGAAGGCGGCUCACUGGUCCGGUACUGACGCUGAGGUGCGAAAGCGUGGGGAGCAACAGGAGUAGAACCGUGAUACG
rnacentral:rRNA from 1 species